UUCGUUUGAAACGAUGUGGUAGAAAGCAACGUGCGACUUGAAGGACAGGAUCCGUUGUGGAUUUGUACAUCCACCAUUUUAUGUAGGAAUGAAGGUGCUCUUGGCUCGACAUCAUUGGUUCUGUUUCAUUAGAACCCCUCUUUUUUGUUGUCUUGGAAUGUAAAUAGUCCAUGAUGGAGCUCGAGUAGAAAGUAUUAAUUUAUUUCUCGGGGCAAGAGUCUAGGGUUAAUGCCAAUCAAUAAAAAAAUUGGAACAACUUCGUAAAUAUAUUUUCGGUAUGGAAAUCGAAAGAAUCCAAUUCGAGCAAGUUUCCAAUUCAAAAAUUCCUUGGAAUUGAUUCAAACUUUUCGAUCCAAAGUGUUUCACGCGGGAAUCCAUCGUCUGUAGGAUUCUUUCAUAGAAAUCGCAAAAGGGGUAUGUUGCUGCCAUUUUGAAAGGAUUAAAAAGCACCGAAGUAAUGUCUAAACCCAAUGAUUUAAAAUAAAACAAAGAUAAAGGAUCCCAGAACAAGGAAACACCUUUUUUAUUGUCUUAAUAACUGGAUCGAACUGAAGAAUCCAAAUCCAUUUUAAACGAGACAAACAUAAAAGGAGGAAAGACCGCUCAAUAAAUGAAAUUGCCGAAAGAUUUUCCUUUGAACUGUUUGAAAGUUAUCCAACUUGAGUUAUGAGAGUACGAAUGGUUUCUUUUUCAUUUUCAGGAAGAAAGAAGAAAAAAAAAGACUUACAUCUUUAAUUGAUUUGAUCAUUUUAUGGACCCAGUUGUCAUUUCUUAGAUAGAAUUCCAUACAGAGAUAAAACCUCGAAUCAAUCAUUUUUCUCGAGCCGUACGAGGAGAAAGCUUCCUAUACGUUUCUAGGGGGGGUGUUGUUCAUCUACAUCAAUCCCAAUGAGCCGUCUAUCGAAUCGUUGCAAUUGAUGUUCGAUCCCGAAGAGAAGGAAAAGAUCUUCGGAAAGUGGGUUUUUAUGAUCCGAUAAAGAAUCAAACUUA
rnacentral:ncRNA from 11 species